UACGUAGGGUGCAAACGUUGUUCGGAAUCACUGGGCAUAAAGAGCGCGUAGGCGGUCUGAUAAGUCCUGUGUGAAGGCCCCCGGCUUAACCGGGGAAUUGCACAGGAUACUGACAGGCUAGAGUGCAGGAGGGGAGAGCGGAAUUCCUGGUGGAGCGGUGAAAUGCGUAGAUAUCAGGAGGAACGCCGGUGGCGAAAGCGGCUCUCUGGUCUGCAACUGACGCUGAGGUGCGAAAGCUAGGGGAGCAAACGGG
rnacentral:rRNA from 1 species